rnacentral:rRNA from 1 species
AUUGAACGCUGGCGGCAUGCCUUACACAUGCAAGUCGAACGGUAACAGGUCUUCGGGUGCUGACGAGUGGCGAACGGGUGAGUAAUACAUCGGAACGUGCCUAGUAGUGGGGGAUAACUACUCGAAAGAGUGGCUAAUACCGCAUGAGAUCUACGGAUGAAAGCAGGGGAUCGCAAGACCUUGUGCUACUAGAGCGGCCGAUGGCAGAGUAGGUAGUUGGUGGGAUAGAAGCUUACCAAGCCGACGAUCUGUAGCUGGUCUGAGAGGACGAUCAGCCACACUGGGACUGAGACACGGCCCAGACUCCUACGGGAGGCAGCAGUGGGGAAUUUUGGACAAUGGGCGCAAGCCUGAUCCAGCAAUGCCGCGUGCAGGAUGAAGGCCUUCGGGUUGUAAACUGCUUUUGUACGGAACGAAAAGCCCUGGGUUAAUACCCUGGGGUCAUGACGGUACCGUAAGAAUAAGCACCGGCUAACUACGUGCUAGCCGCCGCAGUAACAC